GAUGAAGAACGUAGCGAAAUGCGAUAAGUAAUGUGAAUUGCAGAAUUCAGUGAAUCAUCGAAUCUUUGAACGCACAUUGCGCCCGCCAGUAUUUUGGCGGGCAUGCCUGUUCGAGCGUCAUUUCAACCAUCAAGCCCCAGGCUUGUGUUGGGGACCUGCGGCUGCCGCAGGCCCUGAAAACCAGUGGCGGGCUCGCUGUCACACCGGGCGUAGUAGAUUUUAUCUCGCUCAGGGCGUGCUGCGGGUUCCGGCCGUUAAAAAGCCUUUUUUACCCAAGGUUGACCUCGGAUCAGGUAGGAAGACCCGCUGAACUUAAGCAUAUCAAUAAGCGGAGGA
rnacentral:misc_RNA from 1 species